rnacentral:lncRNA from 1 species
GAGAGCUCCAAGUCAGAGGAAGUCAGACUCUGAGGCAUUUUCCCAGAGGUCCGUGCUCCAUGGAGAGCAGAGUCCCUGACCAGGGAUCAUCUUGGCUCUGUUUGGAAUUUGUUGCUGUAGAAAUAGCAGAGAUAUCAACAAACUCAUGUUCCUGGGGCUGGACAGGCUGAUGAGCCCAUCUGCAGGGCAGGAAUAGCCAGAAGAGAAAAUUGAGCAAGAAUCUAAUGAUGACCUAGAGGACAACCAGGAAACAGAGGACCUGAAAACAACGUGAAUUUGGAACGUGAAAAGCAAAUCCAGUUACUCAACACAGUAGGAGAGCCUACGUGAGACUUGGUGAAGAGCAGUCAGGCUUCCCAAGAAAAGACUAUGCUCAUGCCUCAGAGAAGUCAGGCCUCUGCUGCAUCUGCUCACAUGGGACCUUCCUCAUGUCCUGGGCUGAAGGUCCCUGAUCUAUAUUUGACACAAUAUGAUGUCUUCUACUGCAAGACUUCAUAAACAGAACAAUGAUGAAAAUAAGUAAACAAGCUGUCCAUGACUGGUUUUGGGUCAAAGCUUAACCUCAAAGUUGCUCAUCUUAAAGCAGAAAUGAUGUGGCUUACGAGGACAAGGGGAUUCAAUAAUGAAGUACAAUAAGAUGCAGAAUAGCAUAGCUACCAGGUGCUAAGGAUAGAAACAAAUCUGGAGCUAGCCCCAACAUCAAGGAAGAGGUGGCUCAUUGAACUAUAACCUCAUGCAGAAGCGAGAUUGGUAUUACAAUGAUUAAAAUUACAAGAUGUCUUUUCCCAACAGAUACUGGACAUGAGUUGGGUGUGCAGAGUGAGUACCCUAAAGUCGGGUUGUAAAUGAAGUGAGAUUACAAAUUGUCAUGUCCACUAUCAUUGUAACAUCAAUUCUGUGAUGGGAAGCACCUCAGAAGAAUUCUGUUUCAGAACCGUGUUGCUAAGCAUGUAGGACAUUACUGGGCUUGAUCACAGAGAAAAGUGAGUUCCAUGGAAGGUUUGAGUUACAGAUGCAUUCUAAGUCUAAAACCACCUAGAAUGCCUAAAAGAAUUCUGCAUUUCUUUAAGUUUGCUGUACUCUAUACUGCACAGUAUAUAAAAUUUAACCUAACACCUCAGGGUGGGCAGAAAUGGGCAGGGCAUCUUUAUGAACCAUGACUUGCUUCUCGGUGUCAUCUGAGAUCUACGAAGAGCACAGGGAAAUGUGACAGGAAGCUGUCAGCCUACUUCUCAUCUUAAUUAAUGUCUUAUAUGACUGCAGUUUUGUUCAUGACUGUCACACUGUGUUGAAAAGAUUUCAGAAGAAAAACUUAUUGCUUGUAGACCUUAGAUUUGAGCAAGUGAGGGGGUCAAAAGAAAAUAGUUGGUUAACGUCAAUUUUACAGAAAGACUUCAAUGUCUGUAACUACAUGUCUUUUAGCUAUUGGAGGUGAUAAUAAAUUGCUGAUAUCAGUGUUCAAAGAACAAUGUUCCCUA